UCUUGAGAAAGGACCACAUCUGAGUUACU
rnacentral:piRNA from 1 species